rnacentral:lncRNA from 1 species
UUCUCUGGAUUUAAUUUCGAUCGGAACGUUGUUAUGAAAUAACGUUCCAUCUCUUUUCUAUAUGCUUCAUCCCGUCUACAUUUAAAAAUAGGCAUUAUUUGAAAAUGUUUUUUACCACAAGUGUCAAGAUGGGCACUAAUUGGCGAAUUUCUGUAUUGUGGUGUUUUUAUUUGUUCUUUGUGAACUCGCACCCGUUCACAGAGGCUAUUCCCGGUCUGUCCAAUAUAAUUUUCGUGACAACCAGGACAUGUGACGCAGUAAAUAAGAUUUGUUGUCUUACAAGUCAUAUUGGCGUUCACAUGAAAUUUUUUGCCAUCUUUAAAUGAUUUCAUUUUACCCGUUUCUAAAUAUUUUGUAUCUUGACCGCAAACACCGCAUCUUGAAUCUCCGCAAGACUUUAUUUCAAAGUCACUAACCUUCGGUUCGAACCGAGCUCUGGUUAAGUGUUUUCUUAAGUUUUUAGGUUGUCUUCGGCUGUAGAUUAAGUUUCCUUCCGGUAUCAAUUUUUUCAUAGUUUCACUUUCGUGUAGAAUCGGAAGGUUUGAUUUAAUUGUAUUAAAAACGUUUGGUAAAUACGGGUCAUGCGUACUAACAAACGGAUAUUUUCUUUAAGUUUUCAUCCGUGUCUUUCACUUUCGGGGUUCGUAAUUCUUGAAG